GGGAGUUUGGUCUAGUGGUAUGAUUUUCGCUUAGGGUGCGAGAGACCGUGGGUUCAAUUCCCGCAACUCCCC
rfam:Volvox carteri f. nagariensis unplaced genomic scaffold VOLCAscaffold_22, whole genome shotgun sequence.